rnacentral:rRNA from 1 species
CCUACGGGUGGCUGCAGUGAGGAAUAUUUGUCAAUGGACGAGAGUCUGAACCAGCCAAGUCGCGUGAAGGAUGACUGCCCUAUGGGUUGUAAACUUCUUUUAUAUGGGAAUAAAAUGUUCCACGUGUGGGAUUUUGUAUGUACCAUAUGAAUAAGGAUCGGCUAACUCCGUGCCAGCAGCCGCGGUAAUACGGAGGAUUCGAGCGUUAUCCGGAUUUAUUGGGUUUAAAGGGUGCGUAGGUGGAUUGUUAAGUCAGUUGUGAAAGUUUGGGGCUCAACCGUAAAAUUGCAGUUGAAACUGGCAGUCUUGAGUACAGGAGAGGUAGGCGGAAUGCGUGGUGUAGCGGUGAAAUGCUUAGAUAUCACGAAGAACUCCGAUUGCGAAGGCAGCUCACUGGACUGCAACUGACACUGAGGCACGAAAGUGUGGGGAGCAAACAGGAUUAGAUACCCGGGUAGUC